GCAUGUGGUUUAAUUCGAAGCAACGCGAAGAACCUUACCUAAGCUUGACAUCCCAAUGACAUCUCCUUAAUCGGAGAGUUCCCUUCGGGGACAUUGGUGACAGGUGGUGCAUGGUUGUCGUCAGCUCGUGUCGUGAGAUGUUGGGUUAAGUCCCGCAACGAGCGCAACCCUUGUCUUUAGUUGCCAUCAUUAAGUUGGGCACUCUAGAGAGACUGCCAGGGAUAACCUGGAGGAAGGUGGGGAUGACGUCAAAUCAUCAUGCCCCUUAUGCUUAGGGCUACACACGUGCUACAAUGGGUAGUACAGAGGGUUGCCAAGCCGUAAGGUGGAGCUAAUCCCUUAAAGCUACUCUCAGUUCGGAUUGUAGGCUGAAACUCGCCUACAUGAAGCUGGAGUUACUAGUAAUCGCAGAUCAGAAUGCUGCGGUGAAUGCGUUCCCGGGUCUUGUACACAC
rnacentral:rRNA from 1 species